ensembl:lncRNA novel transcript
GUUCUUCAUGUUCCGCUAUUUCUAGCUGUUGGCCCUACUCGUUUCUGUGCCUAAAUGCCCUACCUCCCACUCCUUUUCUGAGAAAGAUCUUCUGCCCUGUCAGUUAUGAAGUAAAGAUGUCCUAAGAUUCCUGCUCUUUCUUUUUUCUUUCUUUCUUUCUCUCUCUUUUUUUUUUUUUUCGACGGAGUUUCGCUCUUGUUGCCUGGAGUGCAAUGGCUGGAGUGCAAUGGCGCGAUCUCAGCUCACUGCAGCCUCUGCCACCUAGGCCCACCUUGGUCUCCCCAAGUGCUGGCAUUACAGGUGUGAGCCACUGUGCCCGGCCUCCUGCUCUUCUUUCAACCCUCUGCUCAGCAUCUUAGGCCUCAUUGGUGAUGUCCCACCUUGCUAGGUAGCAUCUUUCCUGAAUAUUUCUCCACUAAACAUUCUGAUGUUGGCUAGAUGGCCUAGUUAAUCUACACAUUUCAUUUUAUCACCUUCUCCAGAUGUUUUUUUGUGUAUGUCAGCUGAUACACUCUGGGGAGAAUGCCUUAAUAUAUGGGAAUAAUUAACUCAUGGCCAAGAAGGAAAUAACCAAGGGGACUUUUACUCUGGACCUAAUUCAAACCAAAGAGACAGAGCCUGAGAGAAAGCAGCUCUGUCAUCCUUGAGUUAGUAACAUCCAGGAAGGGAAGGCUAGGGUGGGGGAGUGAGUAAAACAGAUGGCAUUUAGGGAAGAACCAACAGGACUUUAAGAGGCAUGGCAGAGGGGCUUUGAUCCUGGCUAAACCAUCAGGGAAGGCAAUUGGAGCUGGGUGAACAGAUGGGGUCUUAUUACUGAAGAGAAAACGGUAAGGAGGCAGGGGGAAAUGGGACGUGUGCUAAAGCAGAGUGCCUCAUUCAGUGGAUGCAGUGAGAGCAGAGGCUGUUGGAAAAGUGGAUCAGGGAGGACCAUGCCACCAGGUGGGCAUCAGCAGAGUAUCACCCGAGUAUUGCAGAGGGAUACCAAAUAAGUCCACCUGAAGCCAGAGCUGAAACCCUGUGGAGGUCCGUUUACCCCUUCAGAAGUAGUGUACCACCAUCCAUCUACCACUGGAAUCCAAUUUCAGUUUUGGCAAAUUGUUAUAAAUAGGAAAAAGUCAGGGUUCCACAAUUCUGGCAGCACCCAGAGACUAUAACAGCAUCUGCACAGCCAAGUAGAGUUAGGAAACCUGGAUCCUAAUCCUGACUUUGCCUCUGAUUAGAUGUGUGAUCCUGGGCUGGAGCUGUUUUUUCAGUUGUAAAAUGCUGUUUAUUGGUGUUAGGUAGCAGCUAAUAAGGCUGGAGGUGGGGCUGGGUGUAGUGGCUCACACAUGUAAUCUCAGCAGUUUGACAGGCCAAGGCAGGAGGAUUGCUGGAGGCCAGGGAUUUGAGACCAGCUUGGGCUACAUAGUGAGACUCUGCCUGUACUAAAAAUUAAAAAAAAAAAAAAUAACUCAGUGCAGUGGCGCAUGCCUGUAGUCCCAGCUACUCAGGAGGUUGGGGUGGGAGGGUUGCUUGAGCCCAGGAGUUUGAGGCUGCAGUGAACUAUGAUCAAUCACACCACUGCAUUCUAGUAGCCUGAGUGACAGAGCAAGACCUGUCUCUAAAAAAAAAGAAAUUUUUUUUAAGGGUGGAGGUAGGGAAAUUCAAAGCUACUUACUAGCUGUGUGACCUUGCCUAAACUACCUCCUUGGAUUUGCAGUCUGUUUAUUUGAAAAUGUCAUAAGGGAUAAAUGAGAUUCCUUAUGUAAAGUACUUUAUAAAUAUUAAGCACUUACCAAAUGUUAGUCUGUUUUCACAUUAUUCUUCUUGGAUUACCAGAAAUUGGUUUGACCAUGAAUAAACAGGAGAUAAUUUCUUGGGUAAUCUGAGUUUGAAUCCCCUUUCUCUCUCUUACUAAUUGUAUGACUUUGAUUAGGUUAUUUAAUAUUUAAUUGUUCUGGGUCUCAGUUUUCUCAUUUGUGAAAUUAAAAUGUGUUCUUCAGAAUUGUGAGGGUUAAAUGUGAUAAAAGGCCUGACUCAUAUGAGAAAAUGCUCAA